AACUUCUCAACCACAUCAGAUGAAAAUUUUUUUUGAUUGUGGCUUGGACUUGGGAGUUGUAUGCAGGCCUAAUAAGGUCGGCUCUCCUGAAAUGUAUUAGUGGUAUCUGAGGCUAUUGCUAUAGGUGUGAUAAUUUAUCUAUGCCUUUGGUAUUGCUGCAUGAACAGAUUACACUGCUUCUAACAAAGAAAAAAAACUUGACAA
rnacentral:misc_RNA from 1 species